GUCUCAAAAUAUUCAAAAUACUUGUUAUAGUGUAGAGAGGACAUCUUUAGUCUCACAUUGAUUAUGAGUCAAGAGAAAGUAUGGCUUAUAUGAAUUGAAACCUCCUCUCCUCCGUGAGAUACCUUUUAAAGGGCAAAACCGUGAGACUCCAAAUGACCAAAGUCCACUAAAGCCUAAGGCCCACUGAAAUCCAAAAAUGGUCAUAAGCCAAAGCGGACAAUACUUCACGAACACGGGAGUGAAGUUAACCUAACCAUCCGAGCCAUCCAACCCCUUAACCGCAAUAUUGGUGCUGUCUGUGGGAAUGCCUCCUGCUCACACAUAUUCCCUCUUGACUGAGGGGUUAUGUUGUGGUGUAAAGAGAACAUCUUUAAUUCCAUAUUAGUUAUGAGUCAAGAGAGAGCAUGACUUAUAUAGAUUGAAACUUUUUCUCCCGUAUGAGGUACCUUUUAAAAGAUAAAAUCAUGAAGCUCCAAAUGACCAAGGCCCACUAUAAAGCCCAAAAAUGGUCAUGAGCUAAAGCGGACAAUACCUUACGUGUGCGGGAAUGAAGUUAACCCAACCAUCCAAGCCAUCUGACCCUUUGACUGUAACAUUAUAGUAGAAGAUGGUGUGAGAGCCAGAAAGGGAGAUAGAGGAACUCCCCACCGAUCUCUCCGAUGUGCAGACUUUCCUUGCAGAUAUCCAGAGAUCUCCAUUCAGUGUCCUUUUACUCCAGCCUAGCGGCCACCCUGUGGUGCCACCCACACCACAUCACCCCGAUCGGAGAGGAGCAACAACAAUACUAAUGUACUUUCUUUCAAUUAUGCGACUCUACAAGUGUGAUAGUGAUAACCAGCCAACUCCAUAUAAAGUCAGAUAUGAAU
rnacentral:lncRNA from 1 species